AAAAAUUUAGUUAAUCAAUAACAUUAGUUUGUCAAACUAAAAUUAUAAAAUAAAAUUUAUAAUUUUUU
rnacentral:tRNA from 1 species